GAUGAACGCUGACAGAAUGCUUAACACAUCAGCAACUGAUUGGUGGCGGACGGGUGAGUAACGCGUAAAGAACUUGCCUCACAGCUAGGGACAACAUUUAGAAAUGAAUGCUAAUACCUGAUACUGUGAGAGAGCUUUGCGUCCCAUUAGCUAGUUGGAGAGGUAACAGCUCACCAAGGCGAGGAUGGGUAGCCGGCCUGAGAGGGUGAACGGCCAAAAGGGGAACGGGAGACGGCCGUUGGGCCUACGGGACGCAGGAGGGAGGAAUAUUGGACCAAGGCCCGGAGUUUGAGAAGGCAAUUGUGUGGGCAAGAUGAGGGUUACGGAAUAAAAAGGGCGUUCAGUUAGGAAGCGGUACCAACAGAAGAAGCGACGGCUAAAUACGUGCCAGCAGCCGCGGUAAUAC
rnacentral:rRNA from 1 species